rnacentral:hammerhead_ribozyme from 1 species
ACCCAGCUGGCGAGUCCCAAACAGGACGAAACGCGCGUUCUGGAU